UUUAUUCGGAAUGCAUUCCCUAACGUAGCCGUAGGUGAUGAAAUGACAUGCCCCUGUAGAAUAUGUAAAAACAUAAAGUGGCAUAGUCAGGACCUUAUAUACGAUCAUCUCAUCUGCAAUGGCCAUUCGCCUUUGUGCUCUGAAUGGAUUGUGGGAAUUGCACAGAUUCCUCUCCAGCCAGUUAACGACGAGGAUCUUGAUUUAGGGGAUAAAGAGAAUAAUUUAAAUUUCGAAGAUAACCUAGAUGAGAUGUUUCAUCAGCCUAAUGGACCAAAUGUCGAUGCUAAAAAAUUUCUGCUGCCAUACAUGUAAGAUUCCAUUGUAGAUAUUGUGAGCUAGUUGGUUAGAUGCCAUAACAUAUUAUCUUGGCUCAUAAACUCUAUGUAUACUCUAUAUAUAACUUAAGGGAAUUGCGAUAAAUUUCUAUGUAUGACUUACCUGAUUAAAAGAAUAUUGUUGUUAAUGAUUUGUAUGAUUAAUAAUAUGCAUGUGUUUGGUCUUAUAUUUGAAAGUGAAACUAUAAAUUAUGACAUAUAUGUAUAUUCUGUUUAUCUUAACCCCUGGGAUGAGGUAGUACAUGGCAGAUAUGUUAACCCCUGUAUAGGUUACCAUAAUAAACAUAUAGGUUUUGAAUGUUUUAUUUUAAGUAUAAUCCAUAUAUGAUCUUCAAUAUAUAAAGUAAAAUAAUGGUCUUGUCUAGGAAAGGCAUUGAAAUCGUUUGUUUAUGUGACCUAAAUAAUAAAUAAACUGAAUUGUCUUAAUUGUAGCCAUGGACGAUGUGGAUAAUACUUGGAUAAACCUUCCAAAGUAUAGUGUCGAGUACAUCAGAGGAAUAAAAUCCUUUAUUCGGAAUGCAUUCCCUAACGUAGCCGUAGGUGAUGAAAUGACAUGCCCCUGUAGAAUAUGUAAAAACAUAAAGUGGCAUAGUCAGGACCUUAUAUACGAUCAUCUCAUCUGCAAUGGCCAUUCGCCUUUGUGCUCUGAAUGGAUUGUGGGAAUUGCACAGAUUCCUCUCCAGCCAGUUAACGACGAGGAUCUUGAUUUAGGGGAUAAAGAGAAUAAUUUAAAUUUCGAAGAUAACCUAGAUGAGAUGUUUCAUCAGCCUAAUGGACCAAAUGUCGAUGCUAAAAAAUUUUAUGCCCAUCUUGAAGAGGGAAAGCAACCCUUAUAUCCAGGCUCCAAAA
rnacentral:lncRNA from 1 species